rnacentral:rRNA from 1 species
GCAUAUCAAUAAGCGGAGGAAAAGAAACCAACAGGGAUUGCCCCAGUAACGGCGAGUGAAGCGGCAAGAGCUCAAAUUUGAAAGCUGGCUCCUUCGGGGUCCGCAUUGUAAUUUGCAGAGGAUGCUUCGGGAGCGGUCCCCAUCUAAGUGCCCUGGAACGGGACGUCAUAGAGGGUGAGAAUCCCGUAUGGGAUGGGGUGUCCGCGCCCGUGUGAAGCUCCUUCGACGAGUCGAGUUGUUUGGGAAUGCAGCUCUAAAUGGGUGGUAAAUUUCAUCUAAAGCUAAAUAUUGGCCGGAGACCGAUAGCGCACAAGUAGAGUGAUCGAAAGAUGAAAAGCACUUUGAAAAGAGAGUUAAAAAGCACGUGAAAUUGUUGAAAGGGAAGCGCUUGCGACCAGACUCGCUCGCGGGGUUCAGCCGGCAUUCGUGCCGGUGUACUUCCCCGCGGGCGGGCCAGCGUCGGUUUGGGCGGUCGGUCAAAGGCCCUCGGAAGGUAACGCCCCUCGGGGCGUCUUAUAGCCGAGGGUGCAAUGCGACCUGCCCAGACCGAGGAACGCGCUUCGGCUCGGACGCUGGCAUAAUGGUCGUAAACGACCCGUCUUGAAACACGGACCAAGGAGUCUAACAUCUACGCGAGUGUUCGGGUGUCAAACCCGUGCGCGAAGUGAAAGCGAACGGAGGUGGGAACCCUCACGGGUGCACCAUCGACCGAUCCUGAAGUCUUCGGAUGGAUUUGAGUAAGAGCGUAGCUGUUGGGACCCGAAAGAUGGUGAACUAUGCCUGAAUAGGGCGAAGCCAGAGGAAACUCUGGUGGAGGCUCGUAGCGGUUCUGACGUGCAAAUCGAUCGUCGAAUUUGGGUAUAGGGGGCGAAAGACUAAUCGAACCAUCUGGUAGCUGGUUCCUGCG